AGUGAACGCUGGCGGUAGGCCUAACACAUGCAAGUCGAACGGCAGCACAGUAAGAGCUUGCUCUUACGGGUGGCGAGUGGCGGACGGGUGAGGAAUACAUCGGAAUCUACUUUUUCGUGGGGGAUAACGUAGGGAAACUUACGCUAAUACCGCAUACGACCUACGGGUGAAAGCAGGGGAUCUUCGGACCUUUCGCGAUUGAAUGAGCCGAUGUCGGAUUAGCUAGUUGGCGGGGUAAAGGCCCACCAAGGCGACGAUCCGUAGCUGGUCUGAGAGGAUGAUCAGCCACACUGGAACUGAGACACGGUCCAGACUCCUACGGGAGGCAGCAGUGGGGAAUAUUGGACAAUGGGCGCAAGCCUGAUCCAGCCAUACCGCGUGGGUGAAGAAGGUCUUCGGGUUGUAAAGCCCUUUUGUCGGGAAAGAAAAGCAGCAGGUUAAUACCCCGCUGUUCUGACGGUACCCAAAGAAUAAGCACCGGCUAACUUCGUG
rnacentral:rRNA from 1 species